GUUCAACAUGCUAUUUCGGUUUAUAGGGAUUCUAUUGCUGAUGGUUUGUUGUUUUGUAUUCCCCUGUUGUCUGACUGCAAUACAUUGGACAGUAUUUUCUUUCUAGGGUAGCAGCAAGCUAAUAGAAUGCCCCUCUGUGAGGAUUAACUUCAUGACCUUCAGGUACCAAUUUAGGAAAAUUCACUUCCAGAGCACUUUUGAGUCCUAGAUGGUCUUAACAUUAUCAUUGCAGGUUAUUCUCCCGGUUUAUGUGAAAUUGUGUGUUUUAUUUUGUUUUAUUGUGCUUUUAAUGUUUUUAGCCACUUUGCAAAUCUACAGGAAACAGUGGAGUGGAAACAUUUGAAUAAACAAAUCUACAAAAGGGUUGGAGCCUUUCCACAAGAUAAUCUAAAACGGUUUAGCUGAGAGCAAGUCCUGUAUAACUCAGUGGGGCUUGCAGCAAAAUCCUACGCUUGCUUACUUGGAAGUAAGCAUUUAACCCAGUGCUUUCAUUUCACAGCCUGACAGCAUCUCAUUGCUCUUUCAGGAUAACAAGGUGGGCAGUUUGGGGUGGGGAUUCUGUAAUGUUUAGUUAAAGAUCAGUCAAGUAAUUUAUGCUGUUAAGUUGCUAGCACUAUUAGUGAGAAAAAAACAGGACAAUGCAUGAAUAGAAGUACGCCUUUCAAAAAGGCUCUAGGUAACCAGAGAUGGUUCAUGUGAUAUGCUGUCUGUUGGUGACUUGCUUUUGCAUGAUCAGAGGCCAGAGCAAGGGUGCAGAAGACUGGCCAUUAGUGCUACAGGCUCACGGAAAACCGUCAUUAAUACUGCAUGCACAACAGUUUAUCAUGCAUGACAUCAAAGUAAUUAUGCUCUUGGCAGACUCGGGCUACACAAACUGUAAGCAAAAACAACCCCAUUUCCCCUCAAAGCAAGGGUUUAAUUUAUCAUCGUCAUCUCCAUCUUUUAUAUUACAAAUUACUUAAAAAGAAGCAGCUGCUCAGGUGCCUAAGCGAAACGGAACAUGCAAGCGAGAUAAUAGGACAUGGCAAGAAAAAGCUGGUUAAUGGAGAAAAACAAAACAAGGUAGAGAAAAGUAAAGGGGAAAUUCAACAGCCGUUGAACUUGGAGAAUACAUGGAAUCAGUAGUCUCUGAGAGCCUUGCAGUCAGACCUGUAGCUAGGUGAUCUUGCACCCCUGGCAGAACCGUCUAGAUUACGCCCCCUUGCCAUGGACAAAUUAGUUCUUCCUUCUGCCUCUCCUCCACUCCCACCCUUCAAUUCAAUUCAUCCUCUAUUUAAAACCAUUUCUUAUGAAGCAACAAUCAAUAUUUAUAUUUAUAUACUUGUUUUUUAGCAGAUUUUGUGCCCCCCCAACGCCUGCGCCCCUGUUGGGGGCCCACCUCACCACCCCCUAGCUACGGCCCUGCUUGCAGUAUUCCAGUAAAGGUGUUGGGGAUAUCCUACAAAUAAGUGCCUCCCUGUUUUAGCACAAAGACGCAGCAUAUAGCUAACUCUGGGCUCUACUAAGGUGGGGAACAUGAGACUUCUGAGUAGGCUGCCAAAGCAGCUCUGAAUCCAUAUGACAUAUUUAGGGAAUGGCCAAAGAACUGAUGACUAUUCCAGAGUUUAAAGUACUGGUUCAGUAGGGAAGUCAAGAUUAAUCCUAGCUCCCACAUCUCACCCAAAUCAUCUAAUUGUGCAUCAUCCCAAAAAUAUCACACGCCAAAUUGGCAUUGGGUUCACAGCAAUGUCAACAGGUGGUCUUGCUUACAAGAAUAAUCCAACAGGCUUCCAAACCGUAUAUUAAACUUAGAAAUGGACAAAAAUGCAGUGCUGAGCAAAUUAAUACUGAAUGAAGAACACAAUGGUUAUAAAUUAAACCUGCACUUUACACCUUUCCUGUUUUACCUGAGCAAGGUGGCUUACAAAGAUACCAACGUAACACAACAAUUCACAGUGAAGACUGUCUAAUUGCUUUAAACAACAGCAGAAUACUUUAGAAAAAUCACUUGAGCCAAUGGAGUAGAAUGUCUGACUUAGACCAGGAAGAGCCAGAUGGAAAUCCAAGUUUUGCCAUGAUGCACACUGGGUGAACUUGGGCCAACCCUCCUAUCUAACCUACCUUGUUGUUGUGAGGAUAGACAGGGGUGGCAGAACCUUAUGUGCACUCCUUGGAGAAAUAGAAUGUAAUUAGUAAUUUUUUUCAAUAAAAAUAAAAUGUACCAACAGCAGGAAUGUACAGUGGUACCUCGGGUUACAAAUGCUUCAGGUUACAUACGCUUCAGGUUACAGACUCCAUUAACCCAGAAAUAGUGCUUCAGGUUAAGAACUUUGCUUCAGGAUAAGAACAGAAAUCGGGCUCUGGUGGCGUGGCGGCAGCAGGAGGCCCCAUUAGCUUAAGUGGUGCUUCAGGUUAAGAACAGUUUCAGGUUAAGUAUGGACCUCCAGAACGAAUUAAGUACUUAACCCGAGGUACCACUGUAUCUUGGACAAGCUUGGUUGAAGGGGGGAGGGGGAAUAAUCCAUAGAGCAAGAACAACAAGCAGUGUACGAAGCACUAUGCAGGGAUUACAUCAAAACGCAGGCUGCACUAUAGCUGGUGGAGCAUACCUAGAAAACAGAUUACGUCCUGCGUGCCUGGAAGUUUUAAUGACUUGUUUCUGUCAAGCAUACUUUUUUUUGCUCUGCAUGCUUAGAAAUCACCCACAUUUUUCUUUGCAUAGGAUGCACCAGAAAUACAACCUUGAAGCUUCCAGUCAAGAAUCCUGCUCUAACACUUUUUGUGGCCCUAAAGAAUGUAAUAUAUAGCAAAACAAGUCUUGCAUUGUGAUCUGUAGGAAGGGUUGCAUCAGGAAGAGUUUAGUGCACCAUGGGAUAUUUUCAGGAUGGUUCAUGAGAGAUUUCUCUGAGAAAACGCAUCGGAAAAGGAAGGCUCCAGAGUGCUCCCUUGUAACACAGGUCAAUGGUUCAGCCCUCGGGGGGGGGGGGACAUUACCAUUUAUCCCUGUUUCUUCAGGAAUAAGUGGGUUCUUGCCGCCCAGUUACCAACAGCAGAAAAGAGACAUACUCCAAAGCAACAUGCUUUCUACAACUUUUUAAUAAAAACAUAAUCAUUUCGUAAUCAAGUGAUUCCAAUGAAGAUAAAAAAUAGGUAGUAAAAAGGCCAGGCUACAAUAGAGAAGGUAAAAAAGUUGACCUAGCAUACAGUUUACAAUAAGAAUCUAUACAGUAACAGUUUAGGCAACAGUUGGUUUGUCAUUACACAUUUCCAAAGUGAAGACAAUGCUAUAAUUCACAGUUCAAAAUCACCCAAACCUUUUUCACGAAGCAUAUGCUGUUAGAAAAGUUGGCGCCUAGCCUACAUUUUAAAACCCCAUUAUAAAUAAUUUCUCAAAAGCGCUGAGUGUCUUCCCAUCUUCACAGUGGGCCAUUCUUCAAAGCGUUUCCUGUAUUAUGGAUGGAAUGCAUGUGAUUAUACAGGGGCUGAGAUCCAAAGAACAGCAACCUUCUGUGUGUCCUAGGCACCAUUAAGCUUAUCCAAACAGUGGCUCUCCGUGUCAUGUGGGAAACCACUUCCGAAACUAAGGGGACUUUCCUACUUUCUCUCCUGGGAGAAUGGGGAUCUGCUGUAUGAAACAGGGAAAGUUAAAAAACAAUCCCAUCAAGUGAGCUCAUACACUUGGCGGUGCCACAAGUAGUUGUUUCGAUCUUGACCUGUGCCCCUUCUACUCAAGGACACCGCAAACACAAUGGGUUGGAUCCAGUCAGCCAGCCUUCCUUUAGGCGAGGGGCAGGUGACAUUUUUUGGGGGCUGACGGCUGCAUUGAGCCAAGAUUAAUUUUUUAAGUGAAAAUGUUUUGGAGGGGUCUAGAGGCCACCAAAAAACCUUUUGAUGUCAUGGCGUCAUAGAGGUGGGUCCAUAGGUAAAGGUAAAGGGAACCCUGACCAUUGGGUCCAGUCGUGGCCGACUCUGGGGUUGCGGCACUCAUCUCGCUUUACUGGCCGAGGGAGCCGGCGUACAGCCGGUCAUGUGGCCAGCAUGACUAAGCCGCUUCUGGCAAAGCAGAGCAGUGCACGGAAAUGCCGUUUACCUUCCCGCUGGAGCGGUACCUAUUUAUCUACUUGCAC